GGGCAGCCCCCUGGGCUGCUUUUAUCCCAAGAUGCCAGGAUGUCAGCCCCGGGUGCAGUACAAGCUCCCAGCUCAAUGGACUUCUCGGAAAGCAUCGAAGGGUUCCUGGAGUACAGCGGAAAGCAGGCUGUGUGCCCACCCCUGACCAUUGUGUUUAUGCCAAGGGCAAAGCUUCAACACCUACCAGGACAAUCCCACUUCUGGCCUCAACUCACAUCCACAGCCCUUGGCGUUCCCCACAGAUGCCGGCCUCUGAUCCAAGUGGCAUGCAAGCUGAGUGUCCCUUCUGGCACUGCUUGCACACCUACCCCUGACCAGCACAGCAUGGUGGUGAUGAGAUCAAGACCCGCUGAACCCAUCCCAUGGAGCUGCCUGGAGGAAGGGAAUUGAGGCUCAGGGCCACUAGAUGGCAGUGUUCUGCUACCCAGACUUGCCUCAGCUGUGACAGUGGCUCUUGAAGAGAAAGCAACACUUUGGCUCCUCAGGGGCCAGAGCUAUGACUUCUUGGAUGACACCAUCUCUGACUCUCCAUUUCCAGAUCUGUGAAAUGAGGACCCAUCUUCCAAGAACGCUGUGAGGAUUGUUAGUGAGAGACAGCCAGGGCAGGCACCAUUGACACACCAUAGCAUCCAUCUCAUAAUGACUCCUGAGCGCUCGACUUACCCGGGUGCCAGCGUUUCUAUGAUGGGUUGGCCGGGGAGGGC